AGCGGCGGACGGGUGAGUAACACGUGGGUAACCUGCCCAAGAGACUGGGAUAACACCUGGAAACAGAUGCUAAUACCGGAUAACAACACUAGACGCAUGUCUAGAGUUUGAAAGAUGGUUCUGCUAUCACUCUUGGAUGGACCUGCGGUGCAUUAGCUAGUUGGUAAGGUAACGGCUUACCAAGGCAAUGAUGCAUAGCCGAGUUGAGAGACUGAUCGGCCACAUUGGGACUGAGACACGGCCCAAACUCCUACGGGAGGCAGCAGUAGGGAAUCUUCCACAAUGGACGAAAGUCUGAUGGAGCAACGCCGCGUGAGUGAAGAAGGGUUUCGGCUCGUAAAGCUCUGUUGGUAGUGAAGAAAGAUAGAGGUAGUAACUGGCCUUUAUUUGACGGUAAUUACUUAGAAAGUCACGGCUAACUACGUGCCAGCAGCCGCGGUAAUACGUAGGUGGCAAGCGUUGUCCGGAUUUAUUGGGCGUAAAGCGAGCGCAGGCGGAAAAAUAAGUCUAAUGUGAAAGCCCUAGGCUUAACCGAGGAACUGCAUCGGAAACUGUUUUUCUUGAGUGCAGAAGAGGAGAGUGGAACUCCAUGUGUAGCGGUGGAAUGCGUAGAUAUAUGGAAGAACACCAGUGGCGAAGGCGGCUCUCUGGUCUGCAACUGACGCUGAGGCUCGAAAGCAUGGGUAGCGAGCAGGAUUAGAUACCCUGGUAGUCCAUGCCGUAAACGAUGAGUGCUAAGUGU
rnacentral:rRNA from 1 species